GCCUGGAUGGCUCAGUCAGUUGAGCAUCUGACUUUGACUCAGGUCAUAAUCUCGCAGUUCGUGGGUUCAAGUCCUGCAUUGGGCC
rnacentral:tRNA from 1 species